AGGAGAGGGCACGGCAGGGAUUUCACUAUACUUCCGAGUGGAUAAAGGGAGAUUGUGAAGGCUAAAAUUCACACAGACAGGUUGUCCCCCUCGGGAUUUCUACAAUGUGCCCUGCACUUGAGAUACUCUCACUAUGCGGCGAGUGGGCCCUCACGAUCGGAGUCGAGAGGCACCGACAGUCAGAGUAUAUAUAUAGAUUUGCCUUUAGAGUUAGGCUUGGCUGGGCGGAGGCGGGUGCGAUGCUCUUCCAUGUAGUUCGUACGCGAGUAUUGAAUUGGAGGACGGACGGGUGACUAGCACGUAAAAGUUUCUCUUUAGGAGGGAGCCAACAACUGACAGCGGUUGCUAUUCCCCAUUCUGUUUACGGGUAAAAAGGAAUCUUCCGCCCUAGAAAGAAGCUGCUGAUUGAUUAGUUUGUGAUGGGGUAAUCCCCUACCACGGCGACCAUCAGUAUCUGGUUGAGGAGGAUGAUCCACCCCACAGGAAAGGCACACGGUCCAGACUCCACGAGGAGGCAGCAGUAGAAUUUUUUCCGCAACGGGAGCACGCGUGAGAGCGCAAUCUCGCGUGAGAGAUGACUGCAUAUGGGUUGUAAACCUUUUUUUUCAGGGAGGAAUAAAUGACGUGUACCUGAAGAAUAAGCAUCGGCUACUUCCGUGCCAGCAGCCGCGGUAAUACGGAGGAUCCAAGUGUUAUCCGGAAUCACUGGGGGUAAAGCGUCUGUAGGUGGUUUAAUAAGUCAACUGUUAAAUCUUGAGGCUCAACUUCAAAAUGCCAGUCGAAACUAUUAGACUAGAGUAUAGUAGGGGUAAAGGGAAUUUCCAGUGGAGCGGUGAAAUGCGUAGAGAUUGGAAAGAACACCGAUGGCGAAGGCACUUUACUGGGCUAUUACUGACACUCAGAGACGAAAGCUAGGGUAGCAAAUGGGAUUAGAUACCCCAGUAGUCCUAGCUGUAAACAAUGGAUACUAGAUGUUUAACAGAUUGACCUGUGCAGUAUCAGAACUAACGCGUUAAGUAUCCCGCUUGGGUAGUAUGCUGGCAAGAGGGAAUUAAAAGGAAUGACGGGGGCCGGCACAAGCGGUGGAUCAUGUGAUUAAUUUGAUACAACGAGAAGAACCUUACCAGGGUUUGACAUGAUAAGAAUUUCUUGGAAACAAGAAUGUACCAUUUGGAACGUAUACGCAGGUGGUGCAUGGCUGUCGUCAGUUCGUGUCGUGAGAUGUUGGGUUAAGUCCCGCAACGAGCGCCACCCUCAUUUUUAGUUGCCUUAUAGGAACUCUAGAAAGAAUGUUGGUUAUAAACCGGAGGAAGGGGGGGAUGACGUCAAGUCAGCAUGCCCCCUACUCCCUGGGCUACACACGUGGUACAAUGGGUGAGACAAUGAGAUGCAAAUCCGCGAGGACAAGUUAAUCUAUAAACUCAUUCUAAGUUCGGAUUGUAGGCUGCAACUCGCCUGCAGGAAGUUGGGAUCGCUAGUAAUCGCUGGUCAGUUAUACAGCGGUGAAUUCGUUUCCGGGCCUUGUACCCACCGCCCGUCCCCCCCUGGAAUUUCCCCCUACCCGAAGUGGUCCUACAACCCAUGUGGAGGAGGACGUCGAAGGUGGGGCUGAUGACUGGGGUGAAGUCGUAACAAGGUAACC
rnacentral:rRNA from 1 species